UCCUCUUCAGUUGAUUUUGGAUUGU
rnacentral:piRNA from 1 species